GCCACGGUGGUCUAGCGGUUAGAACGCUGGCCUUGGAAUCCUGGGGUCUCGGGUUCGAUUCCCGGCGGUGCCC
rfam:Zootermopsis nevadensis contig12434, whole genome shotgun sequence.